rnacentral:lncRNA from 1 species
UUUANCGAAUUCUCCUCUAUCCACGUGCCCCUAAAACUACACUCUCAAUUCCUGUCCCAAAAUUUUAGCCGAGAUUCUAAUACUUCUGGUUCAAUUUCCAAGUACACCGGUUUAAGUCGACGACGUUUUGAAUUACGUUAUGAACGACGGGAUGACAAGUCACCGGCACCACCAGAUGAUGCUAGUGUUGAACAGGCGGUCGAUGCUGCUGCUUCGCAAUCGCUUGGGAAUUGUGAGGUUCAGGACAAUAAAACGAAGUCGUUUUUGAAGACUUUUAGUGGUUUUGCAAAUGGCCGGCUAAGAGUUCGGUGGCAGUUGGCCUUUAUUGUUGCGGUUGACUUCUUCUCUUUCUCAGAUAGUAUAAUUGAAUAAUUUUAUCAUCUAUUAAUCGCUGAUUAUUUUAAAUGGUGUCAUAUGUUUGAACACAGAUAUUGAUAACAGUCUUUCGUCCUUGGUGCACAAGAACUUUUGUUAGCAUGGUGAGGUUAUUGAGUUACAGGUAAUUACGUAGUUUCUUUUGGACGAACACUUUAUGCUACACAAACAAGAUUGUUGAUAGGGUGCCAUGUGUUGAUCAUUAAUUAGACAGUUUGGAAAAAAAAAAAAAACCAAAUAGAUACUGACACGCCCAAAUCUGUCACCUCUCUCCGGUCACCAACCCUGCUGAGUAUCUUUACUCAAUUAUUUUUGCUAUAAUGUGAACUUUUUUUUUCAAUCUAGAAGAAUAUAUGUUUGUUCAUUGAGGAUUUUUAUUUUUAUUUAUUAUUAUAUUUUGUUAACAUCUGAACUAUUCUGGUUUGAAUUGAAUGUCUUCUAGUAACAUUUGAUAUUAACUCAUUUUCUUGCAAAGAAGCAGAUGAAACAUAACAGAAUUUGCAUAAAAUUGUGUUCUAUGAUUUUUUUUUUUAAUUUAAAAUGUUAAAUGUAUCCAUGGCAAUGUAAUUUUCAGAGAACCUCCAACUAACAACAAAGAUUUGAUGUGACAUGCAACGAAUACAAAGAAUUCAUAAAAUAAGUACUUUUUAAUUUCCUGAGGUACAUUUUCC